UUCGCCCUUAGAGUUUGAUCCUGGCUCAGGACGAACGCUGGCGGCGCGCCUAACACAUGCAAGUCGAACGAGAGAGGAAGAGCUUGCUCUUCUGAUCGAGUGGCGAACGGGUGAGUAACGCGUGAGGAACCUGCCUCAAAGAGGGGGACAACAGUUGGAAACGACUGCUAAUACCGCAUAAGCCCACGGCUCGGCAUCGAGCAGAGGGAAAAGGAGCAAUCCGCUUUGAGAUGGCCUCGCGUCCGAUUAGCUAGUUGGUGAGGUAACGGCCCACCAAGGCGACGAUCGGUAGCCGGACUGAGAGGUUGAACGGCCACAUUGGGACUGAGACACGGCCCAGACUCCUACGGGAGGCAGCAGUGGGGAAUAUUGCACAAUGGGGGAAACCCUGAUGCAGCGACGCCGCGUGGAGGAAGAAGGUCUUCGGAUUGUAAACUCCUGUUGUUGAGGAAGAUAAUGACGGUACUCAACAAGGAAGUGACGGCUAACUACGUGCCAGCAGCCGCGGUAAAACGUAGGUCACAAGCGUUGUCCGGAAUUACUGGGUGUAAAGGGAGCGCAGGCGGGCGAUCAAGUUGGAAGUGAAAUCCAUGGGCUCAACCCAUGAACUGCUUUCAAAACUGAUUGUCUUGAGUAGUGCAGAGGUAGGCGGAAUUCCCGGUGUAGCGGUGGAAUGCGUAGAUAUCGGGAGGAACACCAGUGGCGAAGGCGGCCUACUGGGCACCAACUGACGCUGAGGCUCGAAAAUGUGGGUAGCAAACAGGAUUAGAUACCCUGGUAGUCCACACCGUAAACGAGGAUUACUAGGGUGUUGGAGGAAUUGACCCCUUCACUUGCCACAGUUAACACAAUAAAGUAAUCCACCUGGGGAGUACGACCGCAAGGUUGAAACUCAAAGGAAUUGACGAGGGGCCCGCACAAGCAGUGGAGUAUGUGGUUUAAUUCGACGCAACGCGAAGAACCUAACCAAGUCUUGACAUCCUGCGACGAUGCUAGAAAUAGUAUUUUCCUUCGGGACGCAGAGACAGGUGGUGCAUGGUUGUCGUCAGCUCGUGUCGUGAGAUGUUGGGUUAAGUCCCGCAACGAGCGCAACCCUUAUGGUCAGUUACUACGCAAGAGGACUCUGGCCAGACUGCCGUUGACAAAACGGAGGAAGGUGGGGAUGACGUCAAAUCAUCAUGCCCUUUAUGACUUGGGCUACACACGUACUACAAUGGCGUUAAACAAAGAGAAGCAAGACCGCGAGGUGGAGCAAAACUCAGAAACAACGUCCCAGUUCGGACUGCAGGCUGCAACUCGCCUGCACGAAGUCGGAAUUGCUAGUAAUCGCAGAUCAGCAUGCUGCGGUGAAUACGUUCCCGGGCCUUGCACACACCGCCCGUCA
rnacentral:rRNA from 1 species